rnacentral:rRNA from 1 species
GAUGAACGCUGGCGGCGUGCCUAAUACAUGCAAGUCGAGCGAACGGACGAGAAGCUUGCUUUUCUGAUGUUAGCGGCGGACGGGUGAGUAACACGUGGAUAACCUACCUAUAAGACUGGGAUAACUUCGGGAAACCGGAGCUAAUACCGGAUAAUAUUUUGAACCGCAUGGUUCAAAAGUGAAAGACGGUCUUGCUGUCACUUAUAGAUGGAUCCGCGCUGCAUUAGCUAGUUGGUAAGGUAACGGCUUACCAAGGCAACGAUGCAUAGCCGACCCGAGAGGGUGAUCGGCCACACUGGAACUGAGACACGGUCCAGACUCCUACGGGAGGGAGCAGUAGGGAAUCUUCCGCAAUGGGCGGAAGCCUGACGGAGCAACGCCGCGUGAGUGAUGAAGGUCUUCGGAUCGUAAAACUCUGUUAUUAGAGAAGAACAUAUGUGUAAGUAACUGUGCACAUCUUGACGGUACCUAAUCAGAAAGCCACGGCUAACUACGUGC